rnacentral:tRNA from 1 species
GCUUCGGUAGCUCAGUCGGCAGAGCGCGUGCCUUUUAAGCCCGUGGCCGCGGGUUCGAGCCCCGCCCGAGGUG